GACGAACGCUGGCGGCGUGCUUAACACAUGCAAGUCGAACGGAGAGGCCCUGCCUUUGUGGGGUGCUCGAGUGGCGAACGGGUGAGUAACACGUGAGUAACCUGCCCGUGACUUUGGGAUAACUUCAGGAAACUGGGGCUAAUACCGGAUAGGAGCUCCUGCUGCAUGGUGGUGGUUGGAAAGUUUCGGCGGUUGGGGAUGGACUCGCGGCUUAUCAGCUUGUUGGUGGGGUAGUGGCUUACCAAGGCUUUGACGGGUAGCCGGCCUGAGAGGGUGACCGGCCACAGUGGGACUGAGAUGCGGGCCAGACUGCUACGGGGGGCAGCAGUGGGGGAUAGUGCACACUGGGCGGAAGGCUGGUGCAGCAACGCCGCGUGCGGGAUGACGGCCGUCGGGUUGUAAACCGCGUGCGCCUGUGACGAAGCGUGAGUGACGGUAAUGGGUAAAGAAGCACCGGCUAACUACGUG
rnacentral:rRNA from 1 species